AUGUCUUUAACAAUGAUGAGUCUGAAAGUCAUCAGAACAAGACAAAUUAGCAGAUCCUCUGAGCCAAUCCUCUGCUCCUUGGCGCUGCCAGGGUCCGAGUGGCGUCGCGCUUCCAGUUGUCACAUUCUCUUUUGGCUCGAGAUUUAUUGCAAACCAACACUGGACAGGGGACUUCGUGGGCGGGCACCCUGGUCUCCGCGGACUUCGGCUGACAGAGCUCAGUGGCCAAUCUGUGGCGGCCGCGUCUGGAGAGAGAAAACACGCAGGCUGCACCGGCCUCUAUGGGCAACUGUGUUUGAUGACAACUGUCCAACGGGCCCAUGUGACCUCCAAACAAGAAAGGAUGGGCAGGUGGAAUGUACUGAUGUGGCCAGAGGGGUCCCUGGCUUGCAUCUCAGCUCUCUCAUCACUGACCUGGCCUUCCUGGUCUCCUGUCCUGUGGGACAGAGGCCCACUUGUCACACUGGUUCUCAGCCUCUGUAACCUUCCUUCGCAGCACUGCACACAUCCCAGCACCGUGGUGAUUCUGUGAGUAUCCACAUCAGUGGAUCUGCACAUCUGCCUCCCCAGUAGCUGCCCAACUCCAGAGCUGGGGAUUUCUCUGCUCUCUCCUCACUAGCACAUACACAGCACUCAAGCACGUGGAGGUCCUCCGAGAUGUCUCCUGGAUGAAGGGCCCAGGGAGGCGGCGACACACCACAUCGCGGAGAAACACUAACACAUCUAACUUAUGAGCCCUGAAUGACGGGUUUCUGUCCUUCAAAUUUAAACAUUGGUCAGCAAGUGCUUCUUGGCAGUUCACCCUCAAAACAGACAUUGUAUUGUUUGCUUCUAAGCUGACCUUGAGUGUAGCAUAUCUGACUCCUGGGGGCACCCACCGCUACCCCCUCGGCAGUGGCAUUCAAUCAGCUGUCACAGGUGCUGGGCACCAAGCUUUCAGGGAAUGAUGUUGACGUAAUUCUCUCAUUUGUGUUAAGUUUGACUUCUUAGAAAGUGUACUUUUACUCACUUUGCUAAUAUCAAGAUGUGAUACAGCACACAGCCUAUUUCAUGAGAGUUAUUUUUUCUAAUUUGAUGACUAUUUUAUACUAUCACACCAGAGGCUUUGUGAACUGUCAGUUCCCCCACUAGCCUACUAGCAGGGAAGAUGUUGCUUCCAAUAACAAAUGUCCUCUCCCGAUGCAGCCCAGGACUAAUUUUUCCACUGACCCAGAUACUUUACACCCAGAAAAAGGGAACAUUCACAGUUGCAGAAUUGUGAGUACUUGCAGUUGAAUAAAGGUAAUACUGCCCGACUCUAGGAUGGUUUU
rnacentral:lncRNA from 1 species